rnacentral:rRNA from 1 species
GCUUACGGCCAUACCACCCUGAACACGCCCGAUCUCGUCUGAUCUCGGAAGCUAAGCAGGGUCGGGCUUGGUUAGUACUUGGAUGGGAGACCGCCUGGGAAUACCAGGUGCUGUAAGCU